rnacentral:lncRNA from 10 species
AAACAAGUAACAGAACAAUCCACUCAUGUUUUCUGGUUUGUUUUCAUGAACCUGUAGAAAAGUUUGAGCCAAAGGAAGGUUUUAUCUGAGGCUUUUCCAAGUUUAUCUUUUUUUUUUUUUUUUUUUUUUUUUUGAGACGGAGUCUCACUGUCUCCCAGGCUGGAGUGUAGUGGAGCGAUCUCGGCUCACUGCAAGCUCCGCCCCCCUGGUUCACGCCAUUCUCCUGCCUCAGCCUCCCGAGUAGCUGG